UUGCACAGGAUUAGUCGUCUUGUGUCUUCAACAUUACGAAGUGAUGAUGGCCUUCUUUUUCCUGAAAGGAUGAUGACUAUCUUGCUCCUAUCCAAGCUGAUCGAGAAAAAGACAAAGAACCAUAAAAUAUCUGUUUGGAAGGGACGAGAUUUGAAGGUGAUGAGGCUCCUUAAAGAAGGUUUAAUGGAACAAAUAUUAGCAUAA
rnacentral:misc_RNA from 1 species